AUGUGAGAUGUGACUGUGGCUUCUUUCCACAUGUGAGUAGGUUGAUCUUUUUUUUAGCUUAGUGGAAACAGUAAAUGACAUGGUGGAAGACAAUCCACUGGAAACAUGCAAAGUCCAUUCAUGGUGACAAGCUGUGUCAUUUCCUACCUCAGCACAGAUAGACUGUCUUGCCCACCUUACUUCCUUCUAUCUUUUUUUUAAACACCACUUCAGACCCUUAUGGUAAGAAAUUCAUUGGUGGUUCUUCUUGACCUCACGUCUUCAUGGGUUCAAAGACAUGUAAAACAUUUUCAUUUGCAGUAUGUUGAAGGCAUUAGGCUCUUGUAUUUCUCUCCCGGUAAAAGUCCUUUGCCUGGAAGCCUUGACUUGGUACUGCAGCAGCACAGCAUUGCGGAGUUGCUGUUACAAAGCCCAGGAAGAUCUGUUUCACUGGGCAGUCCUGAUUUCUACACAGCUUGUUUGGCAGUAAAAUUAGAGGUUGUUUAAGGCUUUUGCUCUGUUGGUGAAGCACACUGAUAUAUCUGUUGCAACAUUCCCUUAGACUAAAGUUAUUUUUCAGAACUAUGGUCAACUUGAAUGCAAUAAAAAUGAUCAAAAGUCUCAAAAGCACAGUCUGUGAUAAAAGACUGAGAGGACCGGGUUUGUUCAGCUUGAAGAGGUUGAAGAGAGGUAUGAUAACAGUCUUCAAAUACAAGAAAGGUCACUGCAAAUAGGAAGGGGUGAAGCCUUUGCUUGUAUUAUACUUCUUGGCUUUUGAACCCAGCCCAGCAAGAUUACCAGAUCUAAGGUUAGUGUAAUAACAGUACAAGUCAUGAAGCUGUGAAGUCGUUGGUACUGUUGUCAGUCCCUAAGCCUGCAGAGCAGUUCUUUUUUGCUGGCUGAAACUGAAAUCUCAUCUGCAGACCAUUGUUUCUAAGUGAGUGGCUGCAGGAACCGGAGGCGUGAUGGUUUGUAAUGACUUGCCAUAUGACCUAUCGCCUUGCAGUGCUAGAAAAGGAAGUAAAGCUGAGAAUUCCUGGUCCCCAGCCCUUGAUUUAAACUUCUCUAUCUUCAGGUUUGUUGAGAGACUUAAAUGGGAACAACUGCUAGAUCACAUUGUGUUAACCUCCCAGUGAUGCCUACAUACAUUGUCUUCCUAUAGAAAAUAGGGUUUAUGGAGAAAAGAGAUUAAAAAAUCUUGUACAUUAAUUUUCCUUGCAAACUUAGAGCCAGAAAGUGGCAAUAACAUCUUCUAUGCCUUGAUAUGCCACAGAUCAAGACAAGACAUGCCAGGAACAGAAGGACUUGAGGAACAAAAGACUUUACAUGAAGCAAAGUAAGAACUGGGACAUUGUGAAGCAUGUCCUGGUGUUGUUUCAGAAUUCAGUUGUGAAGUGCUAUCAACCUGGAGUUGUGGAGGGCACCACAGAAGCCUGUUGUGUAGUGUCCAAGGAGUAAGAUUCUUAUUUUGCCUUGCAAGGCAGGCAACAGUUGACUAAAACCCACACAAAUCCACAUUAGCUAGUUCCUGAUUGGAAAUACUGGAUAUUGUUAUUCGUAACUACUCUUUGUGAAGCAUGUUACGAUAAUUGUCAGGUGUUACUUCUUCUUAUUAGGUAAAUCUUGUACAUGUGGAUGAGAUAUUAUUUUUCCAUGGGUAUGUUUAUAUGAAUUGCAGCCAGUGCUUCUACCUAGAGAAUUAUGUCAAUGUAAUGCAUGGUUAUGUAAGUUUUGUUUAGGUCCUCAUAUGCUCCGUGUUACACGGCCUGAAUGACUUCCAGGAGUGAAGUGAUGGGAUUGCUAUCUGCUGCACGUGAUUUUCUCUCUCCCCUUCUUUCCAAAGGAUCAGUGAGGAGAACAGAAGACCCAGGUUACAGUGCUCCCAGGAGGACCCCGCAGUGGGAGAACCUUAAAUACUGUGGAUUAAUGGAGGAGUGUCAACAGAAGAUUUGGACCUUUGCUGCCAGAAGGCUGCAUGCAUGGUGUUACCAUCACAUCCUCUGAAUGUGCUGGAGCUUUCCUAUCAAGGUUUUAAUUUCCUGCCACUGAUUUUAUUUUUAAAUUUUUUGAGACAUUGGAAGAUCUUUAGCCACUAUUGUGUAUCAGCAGCUGAAAGGAUUUGUGAGGAUGAAUGUAACUAUUUGCUCCAAAAAACCUAGAUAGCUCUUUUCACUCAUUUUGGCAAGUAUCCAUGAACACAUUUAAGUUUAGAGAGCUCUGGAGUAGUUCUUACUGCAGUAUUUGACCAAUGCAUUGUAUGGACUGCUCUCCCUUUGUAAGUGAUGAGAAGUUUUCUGUGCAGGCAGCCCAACCACUGGAAGGUCAACAGUCUGAUGCUGGCUUAAAAUCCAUGAGAUUGAUAAGUUAGCGGACAGCAUUUUAAAGUUGAAUUUCAUAACUUGUUUUCUGAUCCACUAUGCUUGUCAUUAUCAACUACAUUUUCCUCUUUUGUUCUUCUCUCUUUCCCCCAUUUUCUUAUAUCUGUUGUCACCCAACUUUGACUAUAAUGGUAAAAUUGCUUUUUGCAGAAUUCUGUUAGAACAGAAUGUUGGCUCUUGGAGUAUUUCUGAUACAGCUCAUAAUGAAGAGAUUAAAUAUUGAAUUCAGUGAGGCAGUUCCAAGCAGGGUUUUACAUUAUUUGAAUAGAACCAAAGCCUGCUUACUUGGCUCCCCUGGAACAAAAGAAAUUUCACUGAAUGUUAUAUCUGUUUGUCAAAGUCUGUGGUACUUGCUUUUGUCUUUGGAAAUCUUUAGACCUCACAUAAAUAAACACCUCACAAAAAUAUAUGUUGCAUAUUUGGCAUAUUUGGAGAGAUGCUGCAGCUUGAUGACAGGGCCACUCUUUGAAAAGGGACUCACCAUGUGUUCCCAAGAGACACAUCUCAUUAAAAUAAAAUGCAAGGAAAACACGAACAUAUCGAGAAUAGUGGUCAGUGUAUUUCAAAGGCAACAAGCUAUGCCAAGAAAAACAUUGUAGUCAUACUUCCAGCUUAAAACAACAUUUGGGAAGCAUACUGGAAAGUUUUCUACUUCAGUUUCAGUUGAGUGCCAGUGUAAGUAUUCAAGCUUAAGUACUUAUCUGAACACAGUAUAGAAAAUACAGAAUUAAGAAGAAACUGUCCUAAUAUUGGACCACUUUUGUUAUCUGGUUGAAAAACAGGUUGCUCUUCAAGAGAGAGCAGAAAGAAGGACCUAGAAAAUAGCUUUUUAAAAAAAUAUUUUUAUUUUUUAAAAAGGGGGAAUCUAAAUUGGAGAACCAAGUCAAUCACAUUUAUAUGCAAUAAUGAAUAAUGUAUAAUGCUUUCUGAAAACCUGAAAAAGAAAAUAAUUUUCCUUACAAUAGUGGUAGCUAAAUGGAAAGCUGGUGGUGAAAACCCUUGUUUUAGGCAUAACAGUCUUAGUUGCAGAGUCUUUUUAACGACAUUACACAGAAGUUUCUACUGGCUACCUGCUGUAUGAAAUCUGUUCUGCUAAAUAUUGCUUUUUUGAGAAAUUAUUAGCAGAAUAAAUAUGGCACAGAAUUGAUAAAAAACAAGUCAAAAUAAAUGUUCUUUUAGUACACAUUUCUAUGGAUAAUCAGGGAAAACAGUACGAACCGAAAAGGAAUGAACAAGAAGAGUUAAAAGGAUGGUAGUGAAGCUGUCUGGUUUAGGUGACUUCUAGUAAAAGGUGAUAUCCAAAAUGCCCUGCACCAGGCAACUGAGAACACCUGAGGUAAGAGGAUCUUAUAAGCUGGCAAAGGGGCCUCUUCCAUUUCUGGAUCUUCUGGAUAUCCGGAUAUUUCUGGAUAGGAGGCUUGCUUUAAUGGCUUGCUUUAAUGGGAAGUGGCUAAAAUUGGGUAAUGCUAAUUAUCCUUCAUGUGUAAAUUUUUAAACUAAUAAAUUACCUCAAGUCUUGUAUGAAAUAUCAUGGAGACACUUAAUUUCUAUUGGUUUCAUUUCCCAAGAAUAUUUUUAUUUCUUUCACUCUCGCAAAACAGGCUUACCUAAUUUCCAAAUGUCAUUCCUUGCACAGCUACUUUAUAAUCACCAAAGCAUUACUUCAAGGUUUGGCCUUAUCGUAGGAGAAUCAGAGAUGAUAUACAGUGAGAAACAGUGCUUACUAAAUUUAAACAUCAAGGCAAAUUGUUAUCUACAUGCAAGACUUUAUUUUUAUGAUCAUUUAUUCAUUGCUCUUCUAGUGUACCGGGAGCUGUGCAGCACAUAUUGCUAGGUAUAGUCUUUGCCCUUUGAAUAUUGAUGUUUUGGAAUUCUCCUGAGAAUGAAAGGCAGAUUGAUCUACUCUUGAAGCUUGACAAGCGAUAUGCUUAUUUUUCUUUUUAGAAUGAGGAAACAAAAUGCAAUCGCCAUUCUUUCUGAGCAUUUGAAAAAAUUUAUAUAGCAGAUAUGAACAGUUGCAAUUCUCAUCCUCUUUUAAUCACACUGGAUAGGCAUACUUAGAAAUUUUAUGAUCUGAUUGCCUUCUUCAUAUAAUGUAUUUCACUACCACGGAUGGGGAUAAAUGCUGCUGGAAAACGGCUAUGAAAGGUAAAGUAUACAUUAUUCUUCAAUGUGUCACAUUUAUCUAUUUAAUAAACCUGGUUCAUGGCUUUAAACAACUAUAGCCAGCCAUGAAUAGCAUAAUUUGUCAGCCCAACGGGGCCUGGUUGCAGAGCAAUUAGGACGCCUAUCCUCAGAGAACAGUGAGCAUGAGUUCUGCUUCAUAUAUGUGCUGACAGAGGUUCCCAAGGGAUCCUGCUGUAAGUGAAGCCUUAGUCAUUCCGGCUGGCAGGUGGACAGUGGGCAGAGGUGAUGCCAACAGCCCUUCCCUACUGUUUUCUGCAGAAGUCAGCAUGCUGAGUGAAGCACGCUUACCUAGGUCUCCUCCCAAGACUCAGGCAGAUGGUGGAUGUGUUUGGCAGACGCCUAUUGCUGCCCUCUUAUGGACAGAGCCAACAGUGAUCAGGAAUCUAUAACCAGUCAAGAUACAUGGUAGUGUGCUUCACGCCUAGAAAACCUCUGUGGCUCAAGUAGUGGCAGCCUUAUCUUUGACAGUGUUAAGAUUAUUGAGGGAGUCAGUAACGAAGUAAUCUCUUUGCUGUGUUCUGCUGCACAGACUCAAAUCUUUGUCUUGCUGAAGAUGGCUGCCUGGUACUUCCUUAUUCAAAAAGGCAGACUGUCCAUGAAACUUGUUAUAAGAGCAAAAUGGAUUAGGAAAAAGGCACUAUUUGCAAGCAAACUGAAUAACAGUAUCAAAUCUGAUGGGUUAGUCAACCAAAACCCAGACUUCACAACUUCUUUGAUAAGAGAGAGAUUAUUAACUUUCAGUCUGCUAUUCACAAAAAUAAGGAGUAAGCCAGGUAGAAGUGUUCUGCUUGCAGAACUUACUGAGAGGUCUCUAAUAAUCUAAUUGUAAAAUCUUCUAUUAGCAUGGUACGAAGACAGAAAACAGCUCAUAUAACACCCUGAAAAUAAAGUGUCACAGUAGAGCUGACAGCUUCUGAAUUAUGGCAUAUAUAUUGCAUUUAAUAUUAGCCUCAAAUUCGACAUAAUUUUUUGUUGGCUGUGCUUUGCUCAAUGAAUGUAGUCUCUUCCACUUGCAGAGUGCAUGCAAACAGACUGUGCCCUCCUUGUGUGUAUUCUGUAAGUAUGUUUGCAGUAUGGAAUACUUGGUAUCCACAAUACAAGCUGUGCUAUUUAGCUGUGAUUAGUUACUUAAGUCAUUUGUUAUUAUUUCCAUUACCUAACUGGAGGAAAGGAAUUUAUAAUUAGCCUGGUGAGCUUGGCUUGCUGAAUAAGGCAGUAAUUUGUGGGAUGAGAUUUAGCAGUGAAGUAGAAUUAGGACAUUUUUCCUUUUCUUAAUUAGAUGGAUCUUGUUCAUAGAAUCGAUCCCAGAAAAUUGUUACUCUCAAUACUUUAGGAAAAGGAACAUAUUAAUUUUUAAUACUGUAUUCUAUUGAAAAAGGAAAUGCAGCUAUGUUUUAUACUAACUAUGAGCAAUAUUAUAGAGUUUGGUUUAUGUAGGUCUGUAAGUCUGGUUUGGUUUAUGUGAGUCUGUACACACCUGAGAUGUGUCUUUUAUGUACUUAGAUAUCUUUGAUCUAUGGGCUGUGGCUCUCCUCAUCACCCUUAAUUUGAGCCUUAAAUCAGUGAUAUAGCUGUAGGUUGAGGCUAACAGUUUGCUACUACAGGUUUAUAGUUAAAACUCUUCCUUGCUGUUAUGGCAUCUUUUCUGUGCAACCUUUGUAGAAUUGCUGAAACAUAUUAGGAAUUUUGACAGUUAGGAGCCAGGAGCUUAUUCCUUCUUCCAUGCUUAGUAGGACUGGAGGUUUUUCUAGGGAUAUAUUUAAUGUAUAAGUUAGGAUAACAAUAAGAGUAAGGUCUAAUUGGGGACUUCAUCUUCAGUUGAAUCUGUUUGGGAAUAUUAUACCUGCCUAAGGAGUAUUAUCCUUAAGUAUGUUGUUCAGUGUCAGUCUCGCAGUUCUGUGUAUAAGCUCAAGCUUCAGUAUUGGGUUGAUUUUAAUAAGCAGUCUCUGGUACCUCAAGUUUUAGUUCAGUCUAUAUUUGGCUUUCAAUUUGUGGUUUGAACUUCAGCCAGCAAAAUGGAGAGACCGAGAUUAGCCUCCAAAGUGACAGAGAAGUACAUUUGGGCCUCUCACUGGUCUGUGAUGAGCACGAGAGUCUGAGCAGUGCUUUCAGAGCAGUCUUGACCUCUGUUAGGUUCAUACAGAAAUGCUACAUUAGGUGUCAGGAUGAGUUAUCUUCAGAGUGUACAGAGUGUGCUUAUCACUCUUCAUGGACUACUCAGAAAAAGUAGUCUGAUGGGCUCCCAGCUCAGAUGUCUCCACCAGAUGCCUACUGCUGGAUGAGAUGAAUCAGGUCUGUUUUUGCACAUUGGCAGUAGUGCUAAUGAAGAUCAGUUGCAUAAAUGUUCAGCGCAUCAGUUGCAACCUAGUACUGCAGUGGAUUUCUCUCAGAAUAUUUUGAUCUGAGGUUGCUGUCCUUCUCAGUUAUUCUGAGUAAAAUUUUGAGUCUUUUUGACAAAUAUGGAAAUACUAUAAAAGUCAGAAAGCUGGAUCCAAAGUAGGUGAGUUCAUUCUAUCCUUGUUCAGGCUUGAUCAAGUUCUGAAGCAAGUGUCUUUCCACAAGAUGCUGGGUGGAGACACCCUAGGUUCUGUAGCUCAGCCAGUCUGGCUAUUUCAGUUGGAAAAUUCUGUUUCUUUUAUGCUUCUGUGCAGGCCAACUUUAUGCUGCUUCUCCUUUCAGACGGAUGUGCAGAUUCACCUGGCUCCCGUGCUUUUGAUAGAGUUUUCCUCCUUGAGUUCAGUUGCUGUGAAAACAAACAGUAAGCAAUACAUACUGUGCCUUUCAUCUUUAUCUGCAGAGUCUGCUAAGUCAGCCACCUUCUCCUUGUACAAAAGAGGAAACUAGUCGUGAAAAGGCUUGACUGGGAGCUGAAUCUUACUUCUGUGAGGGUUGGGCUUGGCGCAGAAUUCAUUAAUCUGAUGCUCUGGCUUCAACAGGCAUUUUUCCUCCCUCCUUCCUCCUCCUUUCUUUUCCUCUACUUGGCUGGUCGUCCUUGUCUGGCUCUCCCCCCACCAUGCUAGUUGUGAGCAGAAAUGCUGAAUAAAUUGGACUGGGGAACAGUUCCAGCUAAAAAAAGAUUAUUGUAUUGGAGGUUCAGAUUAUAUUUCAGCUGAAUCACUUCCUUAGGAGACUACACAAAUGUUUAUGCUGGGAAGGCAGUGCAAGAAGCAGGAUUGGAUGUGAAGUAGGAAUGGCUUCAGCUGACAAAAAUAUAAUGGCUGCCAAAACCUCAGUCACGGAAAGUGCUUUCAGACCAAGGGCGAGUGAGAUUGAGAUCUUAGAUUGAGAUCAAGUGACCUGGAUAGAUUGUUGGCAAUGGACCUGCUUUGAGCAGGGAAUUGGACUCGGCGACCUGCAGAGAAACCCUUCCAACCUGUAUUAUUCUGUGGUUCUAUGAUUCAAACUUGAAUCCUGUUUCAGACCUCCUUUGGCUUUGUAAAUUUUGCACUUUCAUCCUUUAAAUGCAUCCAUCAUGCUGUUCUUCAAGAGCACAAACACAAAGCUAAGAUCAAUACCAUUCAGUGGAGGCAGAGGCCCUUUGACCAUUUGGUUUACUGAACAUAGUAAAAGCCACAUCCCAUGCACCCCAAUUUUCCUUAGUAAGAGGAGUAUAAUUGUGACUUUUCUUUAUUUUUAUUUGCUUUAUCUUAAAUAAGAAUUGCAAAUGUGGUGCUGGGUGAAUACUGUUGUGUUUUGAUUUGUUACAGCUUAAUUGUAAACAAUGAGAAAGCUGAAAAGUGUUGUCUAGGGCAGAAGCAGUAGUCAACCUCCUGGCUGUUCUAUUGUCAAACUCUGAUACCUGUGCUUCUGAGCCUGUUCCUGCAUGGCAAGUGGCAAAGCAGGCAGUGCCUUUGGUGGUACAGGUCUACCCUUGAAAACCACUGUUUCUCAGGAUCACUUUCUCAGGGCCACUGUAUGCUGGUAGAGUAGAUAGCAUAGCUUUGUUGAAUAUAUACCUCUAUUUCCCCUUUUAAAAGAAAUAGAUAAAUAAAUAAAUAGUAUGCACAAAAAUGUAUGUGGAAGAUCUAGUUCUAAACUUUUGCAGUGGUUUAAGUGAGAAGCAACUCUAACUAUGCAAAGGCAACUGGAAUGAAUCAUGUCCAAGAUAUUAUGUAUCGAAGUGGGUAUUUGUAAGAAAUGGCAUAAGCCAAUACACAUCUAUUUCUUUGACAUCUAGAACAUUGAUGGAUUCAAUGAAGAGGAAUAAAUACUCUGUAAUACAUGACUCACCCCAUUCUAAGUUGGACAUACAGAUUAAUUCAGAUGAGUUGUACUUUAGAAGUGCUUCUCCAUUGCACUACAAAUGUUAUCUUGACAACCAGCUCAGUUUUGCUUGUUUACUUUAAAGACACCUAAAGUUUUAGUGAGAUGAAUAUCACCCCUGGUUUCCUGCAGGCCUACCUGGUGUCAGGGUCUAACAUGGGGAAGUGAGAGCCUCAUCCUGGUACCAACAUGAACGUGUUUAGGCCUACUUGGAUUUGAUCCAUACUGAAGACAGGGGCUUGUGGUAAGGAAAGAAAGACAGAAGCAUAGUGACAUGCAGAGCCAUGCUGGAGGGCAUCGGCCGUGCAGGGUCCUCAUGAAGGAUAUCAUAACUUGGGGAACAUACAUCCAGGGUGAUAUGCAAGAGACUGCUCAUAGCUGGUGCUGCCCAGACAGAUGGCCUGUGAGUCCCUGAAAGGCAAAAAGAAGCACCGCAGUAAGAUGGUCUGGGAGAGAGAUACUCCCAAGUCUUCUUACAACAGUUCUGCCUGCAUUUCUUGCCUGACAGUAAGUACUCCCUCUGACAGAGAGUGGCACAUAAGUUGCAUUGCUUAGAAGCCGACAGCAAAUUAUUAUCUGCAGCAUGUGAGGUAUAUUUUAGAGGAACUGUGUUUCAGAGAAGUAUUGUGGAGGGCCAGGACCCUAUCGGCAGCUCAGGAGCAUAGUCUGAACAGGAAUUCCCUGGAAGCAGACCUGAUCCCAGUUGAGAUCUCCUGCCAGUUGGCUCCCUUCUCCCUGCCUGCACAGCUGUUCAUAUUGCUGUGUGAAAGACUGGGCUGGGAAACUGAUGCCACAGAAGGUAUAACAUGUUCUUUAUUAUUUUGCUGUGUUGUUUGCUGUCUUAAGUGGGUCUGCUGCCAGAUGCCCAUGGUGUGGUUCAAACAUCAACCCUUGCUCAGAGCUUAUUUUUCAAGGCUCAGCACAGCCUAAUGCAAUGAAUAGCUCUUGCAUUGCUUAAAAAGAAUGUCAGAUAUUUGUAAGCAUCAUUUAUACAAAUAACAUGCUUAGUGAAUAGGAGAUACCAGGAGAUAAAAGGCCUGCCAGGUAUCUUGCAUGUAUCCCCCAUUAGCUUUCUGCUCAUGUCCUUUCAAAAUCAUUCCCGCUGGCUACCCCUUUUUCUGGCCCUCAGAGAAGAUACUAUGCCACAAUAAGCCCCUUCUCCUUUGAGUCCAGUGAGCUGGGAGACAGUCACAGCACCUUUGCUUACCAUCAGUGACUUCUUGGAGAGACUGAAAUCAAUCCUCAAGGAGGACUUGCUCUUUUAAGGAAAGUCAGUGAGCUUUUGCUAUUUACUGGUUGGCAUAUGUAUUGCUUAUUUGAACCAGAGAAGGCAAAACCCCUUGGGCCUGUUGCCCAGGGCUUUAUAAGUUUAUUUGGGAAUGGCUGACAGCUUGCUAUCCCUGGCUCUGUGCUUCAUCCUGGGCAUGUAAUGUGCCUCUGAGUCAGCUGCUGCAUCACCUUGGUUUACAUCAUGGUUGCAUUCUGUGAUAUAAGAAGGCUGAUUCAUGUUGAUUCACCAGCAGCUCAAAUGUCAAUGUGGUUUGGGCAGGGCAGAAAGCAGGGGAUCUUUCACCUUUUAUUCCACCUAAGGAAUGAGCAUCUUCACUUGCAUCCCUUAGCCAAAUUUGAAUAUGGGAAGAUUCACUGUUCUGCAGAGCUUUGCUGGCAAUCUUUAUUGUUCUCUUCUUCAAGGGGCUUUCUGAGGCCUGUGAUUGCAGGAACAUGAUGGACUUGGGCUGUGCUGCCAGCCUGUCCAGGUCUGCAAGUAGACAAUCCUCUGUAUUUCUUGUUGGCUCAUUGAGUCUCAUCCUUGAGGAUUUUCCUUCCUUUGCCUUUCUUUUCCACAUCUUUAAAAAGGUCCUAACCCAUUCCUGUCCCUUUUAACCACUCUCACUGGAGUUUGAGAGCACUAUGACACAACAACAUAAAAAAUGCUACAAAAUGUUCCUUCAUUUUCUGCACAGCAGCUGUGGACAGAGUGCCGUGUUAUUAAGUACUGCAGUGAAAAAUAUUGCCCUUUGUGUGCAGGAGGCUUUCUAACAGCUGAAAAAUCUGCUUUCUGACCUGCUGGCAUCCUACUCCGGGCACAGCUAUGGCAAGCAGUUCUCAACCUCAAUACACCACUCUCCUCCUUCUUCUGCUGUUCAUUUCCAUCCCUGCUGCAUCUCCCAGCUCUCUCUCUGUGACAGUGUAAGUGGGGGAGGUCUAGAGAAUCUGUCCAGAGAGGCCUAAGUGGAUGGUGUGGCAGGGCAAAAAGAAUGGCAAGAAAGGUGGACUUUGUGGGUCCAGGUAAAUGCUGUUGGAAUGGAGACAGAGAUAAGAGGAAGCUUUGUUGUGCAUCAGAUGAGGGAAGACUCACUGAAGGGACAAGUCAUAUAUUUUGUAAGAUACAGCUAAAAAGCUUAGACAUAUUUCUAAGCACACCAACUUUCUUGUUGAAUUGGAGGAAAAAUUCAAAGGCAGCUCUUCCUCAAGGGUAUGUUGAGAACAAGCCUUCCUUAUGCAGACUCUGCUCAGAAAUAGGUUUGACAUCCUCUUUAGUUCCUAGAGUUCAAACCAGUUUAACAUCUUUAAACACUUGCCUGUUUGUUAUAUAGCCAAAUCCCGUUUGCUUUCUCCAAAAUUAGCAGAGCUUCUGGAAUAGUAAAACUGACCAGGAUCAGUCCCUUCCUGUUGUCUUUGUGCACAAUUUCCCCUGAUGUUUACUGGAUAAACUGCCUCAAGCUAAAUAUGUCCAUCAGUGUAUGUGCUAGGGCUCUGUCCCAAGGCUUGCCAUGGUACAAGCACUGCGUGAAGGAAGUCUCGUAGCAAAUGAUAACAUACUAUCUUCGUGUUUCUAGUUUACUGAAGGGUAAUAUAGGAUAUGAUCUCAGGGCAGACUGCUGAUUUGCAGCCUCUUCAGGAAACUGUAAUGUUCACUUAGACACUAUCCUUAGCCUGAAUACAUUAACUCACUGCUGAAAGGAUAGCCACAAUUUAAGUUAAUUGUACAGUUGCUGGGAGCAAUAAAAGAAGAAAAAGUUUCUCAUUGUAGCUGGUCCUCCCACUCAUGGGAUCCGCUGGUCUCGUAUCCUUGCUGUCUCACACCACAAACCAAUGGGGACAAAACAGUAUUUUUGGCUCUUGUUUGAGUUGGAGGAAACGGGGGAAGGACUUCUUUGUAUUCUGUACAGCUUUAUUCAGCAGUAUUGUUGUAUUUUGCUAUAAUUUUCAAGUGUUUCCCAAAAGAUUAUCAAACCUAUCCUGAGAAAUAUCUAUGGUUUAUUUUGCUUUAUUUUGAAAAAAGAAGUUGAGAUAAAAAGAAGUGAACUUGAGAGAAUUCAUGCCAGGGUUUUCUGGCUUUGGGUUUUGGCUUAGCUUAUUAGAAUCUUGGAAUGGUGAGCUGUUCAAAAGUCUGUUUGGCAAAAUGCAAUCCAGAUUUUUUCCUCCAAUUUACAAUGUAGGGCUGUGGAACAGGUAACCAGGAGGCAUUAUGCCACAUCAUUCCUCAAAUCUGGAGAGUGAGAUAGGGAGAAAUAUGCUGUUUGCCUCUGAAGUGCUAGCAUUCGAUUCCAAAGGAUCCCUGAGCUUGUUGCUGAUAGGAGGAAGCUCUUACUCAGAUGUUAGAGCACUGUCUUGGAGAUCAUGGUCUUGGCCUCAAAUUCAGGCAAGAAUUAGGUAUCAUUGUGCAUAGAACUUUCCCCAGACGUUUGGGAAGGGCUGGGAACCUUCAGUAGCUCUGUGCAUAUUCACUCCUCUGAGAAGGGGUUUCUCCAGGCUUUUGUGGGGGAGGGGGACAAAUGCUGAUGAAAGCAAAUGCCAAAAUGUGGAAACAGAUUAAGGCCAGCAAAGCUUAAAACAGGAGACUGUUCCCUCUUCCUCCUUGCAGUCAGCCAUUCUUGUUCUUACAGAAAAUUUCUAACAGUUGCAACACAAGAAUUUGUGUGACCUUGUGGCAUACUAUAUUGGAAAAAUUGCUUUUUUUUUUUUUUU